UACGGGGGGAGCAAGCGUUGUUCGGAUUUACUGGGCGUAAAGGGCGCGUAGGCGGCGCAACAAGUCACUUGUGAAAUCUCCGGGCUUAACCCGGAGCGGCCAAGUGAUACUGUCGUGCUAGAGUGCGGAAGGGGCUACUGGAAUUCUCGGUGUAGCGGUGAAAUGCGUAGAUAUCGAGAGGAACACCUGCGGCGAAGGCGGGUAGCUGGGCCGACACUGCCGCUGAGGCGCGAAAGCCAGGGGAGCGAACGGG
rnacentral:rRNA from 1 species